AGUGAACGCUGGCGGUAGGCCUAACACAUGCAAGUCGAACGGCAGCACAGUAAGAGCUUGCUCUUACGGGUGGCGAGUGGCGGACGGGUGAGGAAUACAUCGGAAUCUACUUUUUCGUGGGGGAUAACGUAGGGAAACUUACGCUCAUACCGCAUACGACCUACGGGUGAAAGCAGGGGAUCUUCGGACCUUGCGCGAUUGAAUGAGCCGAUGUCGGAUUAGCUAGUUGGCGGGGUAAAGGCCCACCAAGGCGACGAUCCGUAGCUGGUCUGAGAGGAUGAUCAGCCACACUGGAACUGAGACACGGUCCAGACUCCUACGGGAGGCAGCAGUGGGGAGUAUUGGACAAUGGGCGGAGGCCUGAUCCAGCCAUGCCGCGUGGGUGAAGAAGGCCUUCGGGUUGUAAAGCCCUUUUGUUGGGAAAGAAAAGCAGCAGGUUAAUACCCCGCUGUUCUGACGGUACCCAAAGAAUAAGCACCGGCUAACUUCGUG
rnacentral:rRNA from 1 species